UCUCCAGCCUCAUCAGAUGUCCUUCCUGUCAGAACCAGGUGAUGAGUGAUGUCACUCACCACUCUGGAACCUUCUCCUGGACCAUGUGCCUGGUGUUCAUCCUCUGUGGGCUGUUGCUGGGAUGCUGUCUGUUACACACCCCCUCCGUCUCAGCUCCACCCCCUCCGUCUCAGCUCCACCCCCUCCGUCUCAGACACCACCCCCCAGCAGUAGCAGGCUGUUGCUGGGAUGCUGUCUGUUA